rnacentral:rRNA from 1 species
GAUCAUGGCUCAGGAUGAACGCUAGCUACAGGCUUAACACAUGCAAGUCGAGGGGCAGCAUGGUCUUAGCUUACUAAGGCCGAUGGCGACCGGCGCACGGGUGAGUAGCACGUAUCCAACCUGCCGUCUACUCUUGGACAGCCUUCUGAAAGGAAGAUUAAUACAAGAUGGCAUCAUGAGUCCGCAUGUUCACAUGAUUAAAGGUNUUCCGGUAGACGAUGGGGA